rnacentral:rRNA from 1 species
AGCAUAUCAAUAAGCGGAGGAAAAGAAACUAACAAGGAUUCCCCUAGUAACGGCGAGUGAAGCGGGAAGAGCUCAAAUUUAAAAUCUGGCAGCAUUAGUUGUCCGAGUUGUAGUCUAGAGAAGCAUCAUCCGCGCCGGACCAUGUACAAGUCUCUUGGAACAGAGCGUCAUAGAGGGUGAGAAUCCCGUCCUUGACAUGGACUCCCGGUACUUUGUGUUGUGCUCUCAACGAGUCGAGUUGUUUGGGAAUGCAGCUCAAAAUGGGUGGUAAAUUCCAUCUAAAGCUAAAUAUUGGCGAGAGACCGAUAGCGAACAAGUACCGUGAGGGAAAGAUGAAAAGCACUUUGGAGAGAGAGUUAAACAGUACGUGAAAUUGUUGAAAUGGAAACGCUUGAAGUCAGUCGCGUUCUCUGGGAUUCAGCCUUGCUUCUGCUUGGUGCAUUUCCUAGUCUACGGGCCAGCAUGAAUUUCGACCGGUGGAAAAAGAUUUGGGGAAUGUGGCACUUCGGGUGUGUUAUAGCCCCUUGUCACAUACACCGGUUGGGAUUGAGGUCUUAGUGCACGCUUCGGUUCUGCUUUGAUGCUGGCGUAAUGGCUUUAAACGACCCGUCUUGAAACACGGACCAAGGAGUCUAACAUGUCUGCGAGUGUUUGGGUGUAAAACCCGAGCGCGCAAUGAAAGUGAUAGUUGGGAACCUCUUCAGAGGGGCACCGACGCCCGGACCAGACCUUCUGUGACGGAUCCGAGGUAGAGCAUAUAUGUUGGGACCCGAAAGAUGGUGAACUAUGCCUGCAUAGGGUGAAGCCAGAGGAAACUCUGGUGGAGGCUCGUAGCGAUUCUGACGUGCAAAUCGAUCGUCAAAUGUGGGUAUAGGGGCGAAAGACUAAUCGAACCAU